rnacentral:lncRNA from 1 species
UGUUCCUAUUCGGCCAUCUUGGCUCUAGUUUUUUGUAUUUUUAGUAGAGACAGUGUUUCACCGUGUUAGCCAGGGUGGUCUUGAUCUCUUGACCUCGUGAUCCGCCCACCUCGGCCUCCAGAAGUGCUGAGAUUACAGGCAUGAGCCACCACGUCCAGCCUAGAAAAUGGGUUUCUAUUAUUUGAGGACAUCAAUUAGUUGAGUUGUGUGCAGUGUGGUGGUGGAGACAGUGGAGACAGUUGAGCAGCAUGUGUGCAAGCACAGACACAUCAAAGAGAGAGGUUUCUGUGACUGGCAGAUACAGCAUGAAAUGUCUCUGCGGAAGAUGCUCUUUGUGGAGUGAAUCGUUAACUGGGGAGGAGGCCACCUAGAUUCAGUUAUAGAACAUCGUGGAUUAGAUUGUCAUACAUCAAGGAGCCGAGGACCAUUCCCUGGGUAGCGAAGGACUUCACUGGACCUCCAGAAUCUUCUUCAUGGAUAUUCAUUGCGUAAGAUAAAGACUCAGUGCAUUAGCACUGAGAUUCUAAUUCUGCAUUAGAACUGAGAGUUAAUGUAAAGUGGUGUUAAAAUGAGUGUUAUAUGUACACAUAUUUAUUUUUUGAUUGUUGGUUAAUGUUUGCUCCCUAAACUAGACUCUAAAAUCCAUCAUAGCAAAGACUGAAUCAGUUUAUCACUGUGUCCCUAAAUAACUAUGAAUGAAUGAGUGAAUAUAUGUAGAUAUGUAUCACUGAGCAUUCCUUGAGUGUUUCAGUGGGUGUGGAGCAGCUGUCUCUGUCAAAAGGCACAGGAUGUGGUGGGGUGUGGGGUGAGAAGGUUUGUGGUGUGAUCCACGAUCCACAGCCAGCAGAUUUCCUGACUCAGAGCUCAGAAGAGAGAAACCUGCACACUUGAAAUGUAACAGGAGAAAUGCUUAUAAGUACACUACUGUGAAGUCAAAUACAAUAGCAUAUUUCAGUGACAUGAAAAAUAAUAAAUAUGCAUUAUAUAGAUUCUCCUUGAUUUACGAUGGAGCUACGUCCUGAUAAGCCCAUCACAGGUUGAAGAUAUCAUUAAGUAGAAAAUACAUGUAAUACACCUAACCUACCAAGCAUCAUAGCUUAGCUCAGCCUCCCUUAAACAUCCUCAGAACACUUACCUUAGCCUACAGUUGGGCAAAUUAUCUGGCAACACGGCACACUCUAGGGUGUGGGUUGCUUACCCUCGUGAUCACAGGGCUGGCUGGGAGCUGCAGCUCGCUGUCACUGCCCAGCAUCCCAAGAGUAUUGUACUGUUUAUCAACAUCCUGGGGAAAGAUGAAAACUCAAAAUUUGAAGUUUGAUUUCUACUGAAUGCAUUUUGCUUUCGUACCAUUGUAAAGUAGACAAAUCAUAAGUCAAGCCAUCAUAAGUUGAGGACCAUCUAAAAAACAACGCAGCUGCCUGUCUUGUUUCAGCUUUGGUCCAUGUAGAAUACAUGUACAUUUGUCUUCAUUUAUAAAGAUGCCAAUGCUAAUUUAGCCAGUUGUCCCAAUGCACAGCAUAAGAGGUAGUUACUUUUUUUUUUUUUUUUUUUUUUUGAGAUAGAGGCUUGCUCUGUUGCCCAGGCUGGAGUACAGUGGUGCAAUCAUGGCUCACUGCAAACUGCCUCCCAGGUUCAAGCGAUUCUUGUGCCUUAGCCUCCCGAGUAGCUGGGACUAUAGGCAUGCGCCACUAUGCCUGGCUAAUUCUUGUAUUUUUAGCUGAGACAAAGUUUCUCUAUGUUGGCCAGGCUGAGGUGAUUACUUUUAAAACAUUGUAAAUGGCUUCUAAAGCAAUUGUUGAUAGUUAUUCAUCAUGCAGUACUCAUACACAUUUAUAUAUAAAUAUAAAUAAUUGCUUUUCAGUCCAACAUUGCUAUUAGUUUUUAUUCAAUUUCAAAUUCUGGUUUUGUGACUCGUUUGUAGCAUCAGCUAUCUUAGCGUCAUGGGUGGGCUGACUGGCCCUUUAACAUCAUCUGCAGCUUUUUUCAAGCCAUACUGGGUGCAAAAUUGACAGGUAAGUAAUUGAGAAAUAUGGAUUAUACUGCAAAUAAUUUUAAUUUUAAAUUUCUCGAUGGUGGAAUUUGGAUAAGUGUUUGUGUAAUUCUUACUGUAUCUUUAGAGAUAGAAAAGAUAUAUGUGGAUUGAUUUCUUCCUUCAUGGGAAAACAGUUAAGAAGACAAGGCUAACAGAGGUAGAAUGCUUUUCUAUCAUUUUGUAUAAUUCAAUAUCAUACACCAUAUUAUGUGAUAAAGAACUGUAGAUGCUAUAGAAAUAUACAGAAAAAAGAGAUGAUUCAGCUGAAUUAAUCAGAGAAGGCUCACAUGGGCCUCAGAGCUUGAGUUGGAUAUGGUACCCCGAAGAUAAAGGGGAGGGAAACCAGACAGGUGAGCCUGUGCACAUGAAAUGUGGGAAGGAGUACACACAGCACAUGUCCAUUAAGAUUAGAGGCUGUGUGGCUGUGAGUCCUCAGAAAUACGGUAGGGUGGGGAGGAUGGGUACAAAUACCAAGAGACUAGAAAACGACUGUUGUAUAGCUUUGAAAAGACUCCAUACACUUCCAUAGUUUGCUAUGUGAGUGACAUGUGUUUUGCUGUGCUAAGAACUUGCCCUGCCCCUUGGGAAUGUGAUGGUUCCACUUUAUCAGACUCCAUAUGUGAGUUACUGAUCUCAACCACUGGACUCCAUCAUACAUAUAAACCUAAGAGUUUGACAGAGACUUUGGGAGCUUAGGUUGUGGCAGGGUGCACUCCGUCAGCCGCCUCUUUAAAAUCUGAGAGCUCAGGCUACGGCAGGGCCACACCCUAUUGGCUUUGGAGCUGAUCUCUGGAGCCUCACCAGCCUACACUAGCACCUCUCAAGCACUAAGCAUUCUUGCAUGUCAUUAUAGAUCUUCACUGUGUUGUUCACUGUGUUGAUUGAGCCUUCUCUUCCAAGAACCUCUUGUAUAAAGCUACACCUCAAACUUUAAUUAGACUUACAUUCCACCGAGGCUUGCAUCUAUCGUCAUUGAGCAACCAGACUUUAAUAAUUGGACUCUAACAAAAUUGAAGCUACGUGGUUACUGUACCACAUUAAUAGUACACAAUAAUGUACACUGCACACUAUAUAUACAGUACAGUAUGCAACGUAUAC